rnacentral:lncRNA from 1 species
GUCCCUCAAUUUCUUAUUAAAGCCUUUUCUUUGAAUUGUUACCAUCAAUAAUUUGAACAAUUAUUUAAUAAAAAAAUUGAAUGAAGAAUUUGUAAUAUGAACUAUAUUUAUAUGAUCAAGUACAAAUAGCAUGUUCCUUAGCUAUUUGCUGUUUGUUUCUGGUACAGGGAAUUGAACCCAGAGCAUUUUGCCACAAAGUUACAUCUCAAUUCUUUUUGUUUUCAGACAGGGUCUUGCUAAGUUGCUCUGGCUGGCCUUGAAAUUGUAAUACUUCUAUCUCAGUCUGAUUAAACCUUGUCUUUCACUUGAGAAAAUUGUAUUUUCAUAUAUGAGCUGAACAAAAAAUUAUUUUGAGCUACUAUAUACUGAUAUUAUAGAAUCGAUAUAGUUCUUACAUAGUUUACAAUAUUAAAAAAGAUAUAAAACAAUAAUGAGAUGUACUAAAAAACCACAAAUCUUAUCUCUCAAAGUCUAUGCUUUCAUUUCUUCAGGUAUCUUAAGGAGGUAUCUUUCAAAAAGGAUGAGAUAUAUAAAUUAUCCCCACAGUUCUAAGAAGAGCUCAGAAAAAUUUAUGAAGGAUUUAUCUUUGU